rnacentral:rRNA from 1 species
UCGGAUCAGGUAGGGAUACCCGCUGAACUUAAGCAUAUCAAUAAGCGGAGGAAAAGAAACCAACAGGGAUUGCCUUAGUAACGGCGAGUGAAGCGGCAACAGCUCAAAUUUGAAAGCUGGCCCUUUCAGGGUCCGCAUUGUAAUUUGUAGAGGAUGAUUCGGCGAGGGCUCCCGCCUAAGUCCCCUGGAACGGGGCGUCAUAGAGGGUGAGAAUCCCGUAUGUGGUGGGUUGCCUUAGCCAUGUGAAUCUCCUUCGACGAGUCGAGUUGUUUGGGAAUGCAGCUCUAAAUUGGAGGUAAAUUUCUUCUAAAGCUAAAUACCGGCCAGAGACCGAUAGCGCACAAGUAGAGUGAUCGAAAGAUGAAAAGCACUUUGGAAAGAGAGUUAAAAAGUACGUGAAAUUGUUGAAAGGGAAGCGCUUGCAACCAGACUUGUCCGCAGUUGCUCAGCCGGUCUCCUGACCGGCGUACUCUUCUGCGGCCAGGCCAGCAUCAGUUCGGGCGGUCGGAUAAAGACCUCGGGAAUGUAGCUCCUCUCGGGGAGUGUUAUAGCCCGGGGUGGAAUGCGGCCAGCCUGGACUGAGGAUCUCGCUUCGGCAUGGAUGCUGGCGUAAUGGUUGUAAGCGGCCCGUCUUGAAACACGGACCAAGGAGUCUAACAUCUAUGCGAGUGUUUGGGUGUCAAACCCAUACGCGUAAUGAAAGUGAACGGAGGUGGGAACCCGCAAGGGUGCACCAUCGGCCGAUCCUGAUGUCUUCGGAUGGAUUUGAGCAAGAGCAUAGCUGUUGGGACCCGAAAGAUGGUGAACUAUGCCUGAAUAGGGUGAAGCCAGAGGAAACUCUGGUGGAGGCUCGCAGCGGUUCUGACGUGCAAAUCGAUCGUCAAAUUUGGGUAUAGGGGCGAAAGACUAAUCGAACCAUCUAGUAGCUGGUUCCUGCCGAAGUUUCCCUCAGGA